rnacentral:lncRNA from 1 species
GCAGAUAAGAAAGGAGAAUUGGUUCACCAACACCCUGAUGUGAAAAGUGACAAACCCAAACCUGGCAUAGCAGUGAAAUUCAAGAAUAGGUUAUGGGUUGUCAAGAGUAUCAAAGCAAACAGAAUUAUGAAGAUGGAGGAUCCUUAGAGUUGGUGACAAGAAAAGUCUCAAGAUGUUGUUGGUGUCAUGGAGGAAGGAAGAACGCCAACAGAAAAAUAUCAACACCUAUUGAUGGGUGUUUGGGCUUUACCGGGUCAAGCUAAUGUUAAAAGAGCGCUUGCUGGGAGGCAACCCAGUUUCUGAAUUUUUUAUCUUUAAUUUCGUUUUGAUUUUAUUUUCUUUUAUUUGAUUUUAUUUUAUUUUAUUUUAUUUUAUUUUAUUUAUGUUUUUUUUCGGGUUAUGCGCUGCUUCUGAUGGCAGUAAUGAUAGCAUCUACUAAGGGAUGCUAGAAGAAUUAGGUAUCUACUGAAGGAUACAUGAAGGUACACCUACUGAUGGGUGACGGUAAGUUUUGCACCUACUGAUGGGUGCUAGAAAGGUUUGGGUCAGGCUCGUGACGUUAAACAAGCGCUACUUG